GCUUAACACAUGCAAGUCGAACGCUCGUAGCAAUACGGGAGUGGCAGACGGGUGAGUAACGCGUGGGAACAUACCCUCCGGUUCGGAAUAGCUCAGGGAAACUUGGAUUAAUACCGGAUACGGCUGAGAGGCGAAAGAUUUAUCGCCGGAGGAUUGGCCCGCGUUCGAUUAGCUUGUUGGUGAGGUAACGGCUCACCAAGGCGAUGAUCGAUAGCUGGUCUGAGAGGAUGAUCAGCCACAUUGGGACUGAGACACGGCCCAAACUCCUACGGGAGGCAGCAGUGGGGAAUAUUGGACAAUGGGCGCAAGCCUGAUCCAGCCAUGCCGCGUGAGUGAUGACGGCCUUAGGGUUGUAAAGCUCUUUCGCUCGGGACGAUAAUGACGGUACCGAGAUAAGAAGCCCCGGCUAACUUCGUGCCAGCAGCCGCGGUAAU
rnacentral:rRNA from 1 species